CCAUGUUGGGAUUCCGGUCUCGUCAAUGUCUUCAA
rnacentral:sRNA from 1 species